rnacentral:rRNA from 1 species
GAUGAACGCUGGCGGCGUGCCUAAUACAUGCAAGUCGAGCGACCAGACGAUGAGCUUGCUCUUCUGCCGUUAGCGGCUGACGGGUGAGUAACACGUGGAUAACCUACUUCUUAUUCUUGGAUGAUUUCGUGAAACCGCUUCCACUACUGGAUAAUAUAUUCAACCGCAUGGUUCAAUAGUUCUUGACGGCUUUCCUGUUUCUUUUAGCUGGUUCCGCGUCGGAUUAGCUAGUUGGUAAGGUAACGGCUUACCAAGGCGACGAUGCGUAGCCGACCUGAGAGGAUGAUCAGCCACACUGGAACUGAGACACGGUCCAGACUCCUACGGGAGGCAGCAGUAGGGAAUAUUGCGCAAUGGGCGAAAGCCUGACGGAGCAACACCGCGUGAGUGAUGAAGGUCUUCGGGUCGUAAAACUCUGUUAUUGGGGAAGAAAAGAUGUAGAAGUAACUAUGCACGUCUUGACGGUACCUAAACAGAAAGCCACGGCUAACUACGUG